UUUCAUUGGGGUAGUUUCUUUUGCUGUGUCUUCAAAUUUACUUUUUUUAAAAUGAUUGUCUACUUUGCUGUUAAUCCCAUCCUGUAUUUUUUAAAUCUAAACCAUCGUGAUUUUUAUCUCUAGAAGUUCAAUUUGGGUCUGUUCAUAUCUUCCAUGCCUCUACUUCACAUGUUCUGUCUUUCCUCUAGCUUCUUGAGCACAUGGAAUACAGUUAUACUAACAGUUUUUAUGUUGUCGUCUACUAAUUCUGUUAUCUGUGUCAGUUCUGGAUCAGCUUCAACUGAUUGAUUUUUUCCCCCUCAUUAUGUUUGUGUUUUCCUGCUUCUUUGCAUGACUGGUAAUUUUUGAUUGAAUGCCAAACAUUACGGCUUUUACCUUGGUUGCUGGAUAUUAUUGUAUUCCUAUAAAGAUUCUUGAGCUUUUUUCAGGAACACAGUUAAGUAUUUGAAAUAAUUUUGAUCCUUCUGAGCCUUGCUUUUAAGCUUUAUUAGGUGGGACCACAGCAGCAUUGGAUCUAAGGUUAAUUUUCACACUACUGGACUCAUCCAGAAGAUCCAGGAUAACCUGGCUAUUUUAAGGGUCUGUGAUUUCUUGUCACAGCAUCUUGAUCAGGAUUCUCCAAGAAGCUCUUGUUCAUGAAGAUUUUGGAGCCUACUGAUGUCCACUGGCCCAUCCUCAGAGGACUGGAAGCUUCCCUAUCUCUAUGCUUACCUCAACCUCGUCACACCCGUCUCCAGAACUCCACUCAGGCCCUGCUGCUCCUCCCACCUGUACGGUUUGCAUUCACGGUGUGCGGUCCCGAGGCCCUGGUGGGCAGCUCAGAGUCAGUGGGAAGUGGGAUGUCAGCAGGCUUGUCUGGGAGCUGCUGCCUCUGUGAAGGAGCUGGGCUUGGCGAGCAGCAGACAUCACCCACAAGGCCUCAUCCCAGCCCGGCCACAGGGGCUCCAAAGAAAUCACAAGGUAAACAGUAGAGAUUUUUCUCAGGCCCAAAUUAUAGCCUAGGGGAACAAUCCAGAAAGGCUAUUUUUUCUCUAACUAUGACUUCAGCUGUACUACCUAUGUCAGGUCUCUGUUCCCUCCCUUGGACGAUCUCUCUAACACCUCUGAGGGCCUUGUUAGGAGCAAUGACUCACUUUCUGGCACUACGUGUCCAGUUCAAGCUGAGCUCCCUUCUCAGAGCCCACUUGGCCCCUUUGCCCUACAGAUAACACAGCUGCAGCCUGUUCCUGCCACUGUCUCUUUCUGUCCCCUCGAGCCUGCCCCAGCCAGCCCACCACCAUGAUGGGUAGUGAUGGGCGAGUGGGAGGAAGCGAAGAGCUGGAGCAACCUGUCAGCAGAGAGGCCGGCAGAACAGACUUCUAGGGGCCGACCCUGUGGCCGAGUGGUUAAGUUCACGUGCUCCACUGCAGGCAGCCCAGUGUUUCGUCAGUUCGAAUCCUGCUCAUCGAGCCAUGCUGAGGCGGGAUCCCACAUGCCACAACUAGAAGGACCCACACCUAAGAAUAUACAACUAUGUACCUGAGG
rnacentral:lncRNA from 1 species